rnacentral:snoRNA from 1 species
AUCCCAGAUAAGCUAAAAUUUGGUUCUUAUCUGAUUCAUGGGAGGCCGAUAACGAUCCGUGGAAGUUUCGCUGAUAACGCCGUUACUUUUUCAUCCUUAUUGCGAGACGGCGUUUACUAGUAGCUUACCCCACAUUC